CCUACGGGAGGCAGCAGUGGGGGAUAUUGCACAAUGGGGGAAACCCUGAUGCAGCGACGCCGCGUGGGCGAAGAAGGAUUUCGGUAUGUAAAGCCCUAUCAGCAGGGAAGAAGAAAUAACGGUACCUGAGUAAGAAGCACCGGCUAAAUACGUGCCAGCAGCCGCGGGAAUACGUGUGGUGCAAGCAUUAUGCGGAUUUACUGGGUGUAAAGGGAGCGCCGGCGGCACGGCAAGCCCGAUGUGAAAGCCAGCGGACCAACCGCGGGACUGCAGUGGGAACUGCCGGGCUUGAGUGCCGGAGAGGUAGGCGGAAUGCGUAGUGUAGCGGUGAAAUGCGUAGAUAUUAGGCGGAACACCAGUGGCGAAGGCGGCCUACUGGACGGUGACUGACGCUGAGGCUCGAAAGCGUGGGGAGCAAACAGGAUUAGAUACCCUGGUAGUC
rnacentral:rRNA from 1 species